GCAGGGCGUGGUGGCUCCCGCCUGUAAUUCCAGCUACUAGGGAGGCUGAGGCAGGAGGAUUCCAAGUUCAGGCCAGCCUGGGCAACUUGGCAAGAUCCUACCUCAA
rnacentral:sRNA from 1 species